AAGACUUCAGUGGAAGAAGUAACUGCAGGUGUAGUGGAAACAACAAGAGAACUAGAGUUAGAAGUAGAGCCUGAAGAUGUGACUGAAUUGCUGAAUUCUCACAGACCUUUCACUGAUGAGGAAG